rnacentral:rRNA from 1 species
GUGGAUUAGAUACCCUGGUAGUCCACGCCGUAAACGAUGGAUACUAGCUGUUGGGGGUAACUUCAGUGGCUAAGCGAAAGUGAUAAGUAUCCCACCUGGGGAGUACGUUCGCAAGAAUGAAACUCAAAGGAAUUGACGGGGGCCCGCACAAGCGGUGGAGCAUGUGGUUUAAUUCGAUGAUACGCGAGGAACCUUACCAAGGCUUAAAUGUAGAUUGACAGGUUUGGAAACAGACUUUUCUUCGGACAAUUUACAAGGUGCUGCACGGUCGUCGCCAGCU